UACGGAAAGGGGCUUUCUUUCAUUUUCUUCCAUCGUCAAUACUCACAAGCGUGUCUUCCAUAAGUACUGUGGGCCACCGCAACGUGGGAGCGGUCACCCCGCGCUCUAAGGCUGCAGUACCAUUAGCUAGCUGUGUAACUGAAGCAAGUCGCUGGCCUCAGUUUCUUCCAUUUCAAAUAGAGAUUGACUAAUUUAGGCUAAAGUUCUGAAUUUUGAAAGUCUGAUGCUCCACAAACUUUAGUGAGAUAGCGCUUCAUUUUCUUUAAAAUUGAAACGCUAGUACCCUAUUUAUUUAUUGCAAGGUUCUGUGAUGGAGAAGUAAACAUUUUUAACUAAGUACAGAACUAGUCGUUAUCAGUUACAAUUUUUCUGUGAAGCAUCACAAUAAUCAAAUAUAUUUGUUUUUUUUAACACAUACUUACAUAUUAUCUUUGCUUUGUAUUGUUUCCUACCUUAUUAGCCUUGUCACUCUAGAUAGUCAAUCUCCCCAGAAAGAAAAACCGCUAAAUUGUUUUUCAUUUCCUUAAUGGGGUCUAGCAACACACCCAGCAUGUGCUAGAUGCUCAAAUAAACUUUGUGCAAAAUGUGUAACGUGUAGAAACUAAACCGGGCUUUCAAUCCCUCGCCUGCAACAAGAGAUGCAGUUCUGAGGACAUCUGGAAAACAAGAGAUGCAAAAUAAUACUUAUGAUCCUUUUUGCCAACAGAGAGUAAUGGCAAGAACUAUGGAUUCACUAACCGGAGCCACAGACACAGGAUGAGGAAGCACCCAAAGACACUGUAACAACACGGCUUCUCUUGCAUGAGCAAAACUAUGGACAGAGGGGUAUGAAGGUUACAAAAGUGACAAAAAAGGACUCAGGACCACAAUUCAGGCAUCAAGUAAUAGUGGCUACAGUUAUGAAUCAUUUGAAGAGGGCGAUUUUUUAAGAGGAAACUGAGCCUUUUCCACAAAUCAAACGCAGAGAAAGCGCAUGCUGCCCUGAAGUUUACCAACCACGGGAGGCCCAGCGUGGCCCUCAAAGGAGCACCACCGGACACACACUGGGAACACCAAGCCAAAUGGACUAUAAACAGACUAUCAAAAGCAAAACCAUACAAAGCUUAUUUUGUUCUUGGCAACGACAAGCAGCGUUUCUUCUUGCUCUACAACGUUAUCAGUCCACUUGAACACAACCGGAGUUUGCCUAUGUGAACUGACAUUUCUUAUUCUUGACUUCAAGUAUUUCAGCCAACUUGAAAACACAAGAGACACUAGUCGUAUUAAAAACAGUAAAGUUCAUGGACACAAGCUGCUUCUGGUCAUCAAUAUUACUGCAUAAAAUUUGUACCUGUGCCGAAAUAACAAACAUUCCCUCAUACCAAGUAAGGCAAAUCUCUGAUAUCUUUAACUUAUGAUUUAACCACUGAUAAACUGAGUUAUUUUCCUAUGUCUUAAUUCAGAGAAGAAGCUUCACCUGAUCUGAAAUCUUAGGAAGCGUUUUCAAUUUCUUUGGGAAAAUGCCUGACAGACUUCUUUUUAAUCUCCCUUUAGAUAAAGCUCUCUGAAGAUCAAAGGGGCCUCACUCAGGAAGAUGUGUUUUGCUGUCAAGGGCUAAGAGGGAAAAACAGACUUCAAGCAAACUGCUCAGAGAAUCCUUAAAUAAUUAGGCAUCAAAUGGAGAAUACAAAGUCUUCAGAAAGGUCAACGGAUAAGGAAAAGUGUGGCAUUCACACACACACAAAUUUUCUUUGGAAAACCAAACUAGGAAUAAGUCCUGACUGGAAAAACUAAAUCACAUUUAAGUAAGUAGAUAAGUUCUCCAUAAAUACUCAAAAAUACUGAAAUAUACAUAACCUAAUGCUACUUA